AAUUACUUGAGCCAAGGGAAUACAAACUGUUACCACGUAUUGCAAAUAAGUUUGUUCGUUUGGCUUAAGUUAUUU
rfam:Drosophila busckii chromosome 2L sequence.